UACGUAGGGUGCAAGCGUUGUCCGGAAUUAUUGGGCGUAAAGAGCUCGUAGGCGGUUCGUCGCGUCGGCUGUGAAAACCCGGAGCUCAACUCCGGGCCUGCAGUCGAUACGGGCGGACUGGAGUUCGGCAGGGGAGACUGGAAUUCCUGGUGUAGCGGUGGAAUGCGCAGAUAUCAGGAGGAACACCGAUGGCGAAGGCAGAUCUCUGGGCCGUAACUGACGCUGAGGAGCGAAAGCAUGGGGAGCGAACAGG
rnacentral:rRNA from 1 species